CAAGCCGGCACAAACACACAAGAGUGAUCCCUAAUCACCGGCGCACUGGAGGCGUGUCUGUCGGUGUCAGACAGCCACUGAGUGAGAUAUGCUGAAAUGUUUCCCUGGAGGAGUUCUACAGGAGCAUGCGAUAGGCUACCUGUCCGCUCCGUUGCCGGGUGUGUGCUGAGGUGUUCCCGCUCAUCCUCAUUACGGAAAAGUGGAUUUCAUGCAUCAUAAAUCAAGGACAAGACGAGGAUGCCAUCCUGAGGAGGUGCUGGCACACAUAGAGAAGACUGAACUGAUAUAAACAGUGAGCGAUCUGUUCUGCAUGCUAGUGCUGCUUUCCCUGAGACUUGAACAAUUUUGCUUUAGGCUAAAGUUAACUCAAAGUGUAACUCUGAACAUUGUGAAUCCCUGUCAGUGCUGUCCAAGCCCACAUCUCCUUGUGUGCAAGCCUAGACAUGUAGACUCACACCUGUUCCUUUAUCAAGAUUCAAGGGAUGAUCCAUUGACUGCGUCCAAAAGCUGAGAAAUGCUGCCUUCACAGGUGGUAUAUGGUGGUAUAUAGGGAAACGUUACAUCCUGUCUACUAAGAUGCCUUCGUGUUGUUGGUUUCUCAAGGCAGUAUAGACCUUUCACUGCCUAUGAUAUUCUAUACCCUGUGUGUUCGCACAGGGUAUAGACACAUAAAUUAGCAGCUGAAGGACUGUCAUUUAAAUUUUUUUUUACUCAUUGCUAGACUCUCGUUUUUUUAUAUGCUGUUACUGAGGUGGUACCCUUUCUAAACAUACUUAUAUGUACAAUUUAGGUCCAAAGGAGUACCUAUAAGGUACUAAAAUGCACUCUUUAGGGGUAAAUAAGAUUCAGAGGUGUACCCUUUUGAAAGGCAUCAAUCCCAGCGGUACCUUUUUUAUGCGUGUCUUUUUCUGAGAAUGUACUGAGAAAUAAGCUCGGUUCUCUAUACAUUUGGCUUGAAUUGGUUUUAGAUUAACAAAUAUUUUUGAGUGAUAUUGGCUUUUUUACCGUAAUUGUGUGUUUUUUUUUUCUUCAACAUUUUCUUUGUUGUGAUGCAUGUAUUUACUUAUACCAUUUUAAAUAAUUCAUUUAUUUUUUUUAAUUGUUUUUUAAUUUUAUUUUAA